CUGAAAANCAGCNAAAAUCGGAUGUAAAUUCCACUAAUAUUGAAUAUGGCGACGAGACCGAUASGGAAGAAGUACCGUGACGGAAAGYUGAAAAGCACUUUGAAGAGGGAGUUAAAGAGUGCGUGAAACCRUUKUGRAGUAAACGGGUGGUACGYRAAAUUUSRAAAAGGGGGAGAUUCAGGUCUCGCCGGCCACGACUGAWGGUCGCUCGACAGAUUACGCGCCGGCGGGCGGGGGGUAACCCCCGUCACAGGCGCGUCMCCCGGUGGCCCUCKAUYGUUYGUSGUGCGGUGUGACGUACUUCUCCUCGAGGAAGUCACAAUCCUUCGGACACCGGCCCCAAGGGCCCGGGUGGAGUUAUGCUCGAGAGGAAAAGAAGCCCGGGCUCCCAGGCCGGAUGUUCGGUGGUAGGAAGCGAAAGUCAAUGCACCGCAAUGCGUCCGGGCCUCAGUUAGCACCCUCAGGGGUUAGGGUUCCGAACCCAGUCCGAUCCCUUUCUCACCUUGGGGCUGUCCGCGAACCGUGAGGUGUCCUCGGACGUCGUCGAAUGUCUMGAGUUCGSAACGCUACGGCUUGGAUGGUCACACCCUACUCGUCUUGAANACGGAACCAGGGAA
rnacentral:rRNA from 1 species